CGCCUCGGCCUCCCAAAGUGUUGGGAUUAGAGGCGUGAGCCACUGCACCCGGCUCUGAGUCUGAAGUCCUAACUUCAGCAGCAGCAGUAGCAGCACAGGCUUCUGGGAACCCCUGCUGAAUCCAGGCGGCUGGCCUGGCAGCCUGGACCAGGCCCCAGUGAGCGAGAUACAGAGGAGAUUGGGAGGAGCAGCAAAAUUUGCUUUGCUAUUAAAUUCAGCACCUUACCUCCUGCCCUGAUGAUGAUGAGGCGACAUACUCCAGACUUCUCAGAAUCCUGCUUCUGAAAGAGACACUAGUGAGAACAAGGACGUCAUGAGGGACUUGCUUCUCUUACACCUCCUGGAAGGUUCCAAGGCCUUGGAUCUCAGCAAGCUGAGCCCAAGGUGUCCCCUCGUUGGUUGGUGGAGAAGAUGGAAAUCAAAUCAGUGGCACCCAACUCCCUGGAAGAGGUGCUGACCUAGUUGCCCUCCCUCCAGCUCCAACACAGGCUUUGGAAGAGGAAGCCACACUCCAUCCCCAGGGCCCAGCUCAGUCAGCUGGGUCCAGCAGCAAGAGCAUGUGUUGUCUUGGGCCUGGGUUCAAAUCCCAGCCCUGUUACUUACUGGCCGUGUGGCCUGAAUCCCAGUUUCCUUGUGUGUAAAACGGGGAUAGUGGACUCUACCUCUGCAAAGAUUAAUAAAGAACAUUUGCAAGGAAAGCACAAGCAUUCUGCAAAUGUUUGUUUUCUUUCCUCUCUGGCAACCGAAAUCCACCAUUAGCAGCACAGACAUCCCCAGACUCCUCUUUAAAAUGCACAGAGCCGGGAAGAGAGGGACAGUUAUUAAGUCCACCUGAGAUGAAGCACGUGCAAUGCUCUGACUUUCACAGCUGUAGGAUGGAAAUGAUUAUGUUGUUCCAGUUAUUGAGUUACUGACACCUGAGAAAAGCAGGGCUGGCAGGGCCUUAGAAAGCAGAUUCUGGUCUCACUCCCUUAUUUUAAAAAGGGGAAAAGCAGAGAGGAGGAGUUGCUAGCUCAAGGUCACCCAGAGUCAGGGACUGGAAGAGUCAGGCUUAAAUCCAGUUUGCCUGUGAUUGUGCUUAUGCUAGGAUAGACAGGUCCUGGGAAUCAGGCCCAGGCUACUAUGGGAUGGGAGGGGCCCUAACAAGGUAGCCCUGCUGCUGCUGUCCACUUCCCUAGCCCUUGGAACAAUGCCUGGCACAUAGUAGGUAUUUAUUGAAUGAGGGCACCCAGUAGGCAUUUACUGAAUGAAUGAAUGAAUGAAUGAAUGUGGUGGCAGGAAGACAAAGGCACCCUCCCAGGACAGGAAGGUGUCUCUGUGAGACUGUGGUCACCUUGAUAAGGGGCCCUCAGGGCCUUCCCAGGGCUGAGCCCACAUGUCCAUCUCGUCUUCUCCAGAUGGCAGCUAUGGGGGCAGAGGAAGGAAUAUUCUGAGAGGAGAGGAAGCUGCAGCCAGGGGGAUGGAGGUUAGACAGCAGGCGUGUCAUGGGAAGGAGCACAGAACGGAGGCUGGGGAUGGCUUCUGCCAUCAGAGCUCUGUGAGGGAGGAGUGGGGCUCUGUGUGUGUCUGAGGGAAGGCAGGGGAGCUCUGUGAAGCUAUGGGGUGCCUAGGGGAGCCCUGAAUCACACUUGCUAAGAGCCUGAGACACCUGGGGGGCUCCACGGGCAAAGGCCACCUCCACUCCUCAGAGGCAGAUCCAGCUCAGCUCUGGCUGCUGAGAAUCCUGUCGCCAUGGAGAUGGGGAGCUGGCUCCUCUGACAGCAUUGGCGGCACUGGGCGUGGCCUGCCCUCAGCAUGAUUUGCAGGUGGGGGUGGGCAAGUUGGGGCAGCAAAGGGAUUCUGUAGGACCUGGUCAGGUGCAACGUUGACUGAUGCAUGCAGUGUGGCUGCUGCUGGCUUUAGAGUCCACUGACCUGGGCCUGAGUCCCAGUUCCUAACUGGCGGCCCUGAACAAGGGCCAUGGCAUCUCUGAGCCUCAGUCCCAGCAUCUGUAAAAUGGGGUUGGCAGUAUUGUUCACAGGGUAGUUGUGACAUUCACUUGAGCCUGCCUAUGGGGAGCACAGUGCUGGGGCCCAGCGAAGACUCAGUAAGUGGUGACAGUUACUUCUUAAUUGGUGAUAGGAUUGGGGCCCUGCAGGAGCCUGCCCCAAGGCAGCAGCCCCCUGCCCUCAGCCUGCUCCCUGGGACUCCCAGGUGAGACUGGAGAGAGGCCUGACUCCUCCUCCACAGACAAAGGCGAUCAGGAGUCAGGAGUUAUGUCAUCCUUUGAACAUGGGCCUGGAGGCUCUGCUGCAGGCGCAUCUGAAAAAUAAAUAAUAACAACGUGAAUAAUUCACAGAAUCUGUGUGAAUAAUUCACCAUGGCCUCCCAAACACCAGCCGAUUAGUCACCGCAGACCCAGGCUCCGGUCUUGUCUGCCUCAGGCUGCCCCACUGGCCCUAGGGAGUGUGGCCUGGCCACAGGGGCAGGAGGUGGAGGGCAUAUGGGGACACUGGAGGAGCCCUCUGGAGGCUACAGGGUCCUGAAGGGCAGCCAGGAGGUAGGGCUGAUGGUCUCUCUGGGUUUUGCAGAGACCCACAGGCUGGGGAAGCCAAAGGGGACUGGCCUAGCGUCCCCAAGGGAGUGGGACCCUGCACUGGCCAUAUCAAGCCACUUUCCUCUCUGGGCUGCAUUUUGGAGAUUUGGACUUACUAUACUUUAGUAGCCAGUAACCAGCCCUGGCUGGGCAACUCCAAUGCAGCCCCAUCUCUCCAGGGACCCAGCUGCACCUCCUUAGCCCUGAAAUAGAUCCUGAGAAGCCCACACAGCCCUGUCAUGUUUCUCUUGGGAGUUAGGACAAGGUAGGGGUGAAAUGCCUCAGCUCAGGACUCAGACAUCUGUUGAACCCUCAGUUGCCUGUUGUAUGGCCUGGCCAAAUGACUCAAAUGUUCCAGGUCUCCAUUUCCUCAUCUGUAAAAUGGGGAUUAAAAAACACCCACGUCAUAAUGUUAUUAUUGUUCUGCAGAUGAAAUGAUGUAAUGACCAUAAAUUGCUUUGUGCAAUGCCUGGCACAUAGUAAGUGCUAAAAAACAGUGGCUGUUAUAGAUAGAUAUUUGUUAUCUUUCCAAAGAUAGCAUAUUGGGGAUUCAGGAUAAGAAGAGGGAUGCACAGACAUUGCAGAUGUUCAUAUAAGACAUGAUCUGCAGGCCCAAGAGAUGGGUAUAGACUGCCAGGCUGUUUGUUAGAGUGUAGGGGACUCCAAGAUCCUGUCAGUAUACACUCCACUGAAAACACUGAGUCUCCUGUUUGUGUUCUCCUGAGCACUUGCCACGUUUGUUAAUUGUUUUCUUAUUUACUUUUUUAUGAUCUGCCUUCCCCACUAGACCCUGUCCACCAGGACAGGGACCUCAUCUGUCUUGUUCUCCAUUGUAUCCCUAGUCCCUAGACUAUAACCUCACACAUAGUAGAUGCUCAGUAAAUAUUUGUCAACUGAGUAAAUGGAUUCAUCAGGAGGCAUGAGAUCGUGAAGGGCUGGAGGAACAGAGUCUUCAUCACGGGUAGGGCACGAGGGGCUCUCAGACAGUUGCUGGGUGUGCAGCUCAGGGAGGGGAAGGUGGUUCUAGGGCUGGCCCCUGGCAGACUGGCUCUUGGUGAUGCUGCAGGGCUGUGAUGAUGCCCAUCUGCCCCUUUCUUCUCACUUCCCAGGUAAGCUCUCUCAAAACCAACAGUAUAAGGGAAGCUUAAUGGUGGCACAGGCUCGCGUCUUCCCCAGUAGUGAUUUAAUCGCUUGUUUAGAAUUUCCUGUGGCAUUAAUGAUUAUCCCCCAGAACAGGAGGAAUAUUUGGCUGUGUUCUCAUGGUGAGCGAGCUGCCUGUGAGCAGGGAGCUGAGCCUGUUCUUCUGUAUUCUUCCUCUCUCACCUGCCUGCCACUCACUUGCUGGGUGAUGGAGAUGGAUGAGCUCAUGUGUGCAAAGGGGCUGGGAGGACACCUGGAGGCUGCAGGGAGUUAGCGGGUGGGGGACCGAGAAAGAGAGGCAGAGACCGUGGAGAAGUAGCAAGAAUCAGAGACCGAGAGAGAAAAGGAGAUUGCGAGUUUGUGUUCUUAGGUCGAGUAAUCCCCAAACUGAGCUCACAGCUUCAGUUCUUCCUAGUAGCUUCACUCCUCGUUUUGCAAAACCUGUGCAUGAACGUGUACUCUUGUGUGUAUGCACAUGUGGGCAUCUCUAGAGCAGUGGUUCUCAGAGUGUGGUACUCGGGCCAGCAGCAUCAGCAGCACUUGAUGUGCUUGAAAUGCACACUUUAGGGCCCCUCCCCAAACCUACUGAAUCAGAAACCCAAGAAGUGGGGCUUAGCACUCAAAUAGGAUUUCUAGGUGAUUCUGGUGCACCCAAAUUAGAGAAGCCCUGUUCUGAUGUAUACAGUGUGUAGAGAUGUGUGAGGUGGAUGUGUGUGCCAUGUGAACAUGGCCACGUGGACAUACAUGCGGGUGUCUGAGCAUUUGGAAACUACAGCAGCAAAAACCCAGGCAGAAAUCAGGCCCCCACCAGAGAGCCCAGGGUGCCUGUUAUUUGGAAGAAGGGGCUCAGGUCCAGCUAGCAACUCCCCCAUCAUAGCCACCUACCCCUUGAUGGCCACAAGACUCCCGUACCUGGGAUAAAGUUGGCCUGUCAGCAGGAUCUGCGGCGAGCUGCUAGUCGCAUCCCUGACACUCCAGCGUGGCUGAAAUAGGGACCGCAUCCUGGCCCCAGUACUCUAGGGACUUACAGUCCUAGGGACCCAUCCCACUCCUCCUUGCUGCUCUUGGGCUUGAAGAAGUGAGUUUUUGGGGAUUAACUAAUUUAAGGAGGAUUAUGCAGGGCUAGGGGGAAUGAAUUAUCAGUGAAGAGAACCGCAGCACCCACCUGCUGGAGCAGCCAGCAAUGCAGCAUCACUGAGGCCUGUGGAUGAUAUUUCAGGAGGAGGUGGGUAGGGUGAGAGAGACCCCUGAGGCUCUGAGGGUAGCUCCUGGGUGUGAACGUGCUGUGUGAGGGAGG